rnacentral:rRNA from 1 species
CCUACGGGACGCAGCAGUGGGGAAUAUUGCACAAUGGGGGAAACCCUGAUGCAGCGACGCCGCGUGGGUGAAGAAGUACUUCGGUAUGUAAAGCCCUAUCAGCAGGGAAGAAAAUGACGGUACCUGAUUAAGAAGCCCCGGCUAACUACGUGCCAGCAGCCGCGGUAAUACGUAGGGGGCAAGCGUUAUCCGGAUUUACUGGGUGUAAAGGGAGCGUAGACGGCAUUACAAGUCUGGUGUGAAAGCCCACGGCCCAACCGCGGGACUGCACUGGAAACUGUAGAGCUGGAG